UGAUUCGUCACACUAUCAUUAACUGAAUCCAUAGGUUAAUGAGGCGAACCGGGGGAACUGAAACAUCUAAGUACCCCGAGGAAAAGAAAUCAACCGAGAUUCCCCCAGUAGCGGCGAGCGAACGGGGAGGAGCCCAGAGCCUGAAUCAGCAUGUGUGUUAGUGGAAGCGUCUGGAAAGGCGCGCGAUACAGGGUGACAGCCCCGUACACAAAAGCGCAUGUGCUGUGAGCUCGAUGAGUAGGGCGGGACACGUGGUAUCCUGUCUGAAUAUGGGGGGACCAUCCUCCAAGGCUAAAUACUCCUGACUGACCGAUAGUGAACCAGUACCGUGAGGGAAAGGCGAAAAGAACCCCGGCGAGGGGAGUGAAAAAGAACCUGAAACCGUGUACGUACAAGCAGUGGGAGCCCCACCACUAAGCCAGUGGUGAACUCCACAUACGCAUCCUUUGCUGAGGAUACGGUUAACGGAGCGAAAGCGACGUUCAACCGCAAAAGAAGCAGAGGGGGCUUAGUGGUGGGGUGACUGCGUACCUUUUGUAUAAUGGGUCAGCGACUUAUAUUCUGUAGCAAGGUUAACCGUAUAGGGGAGCCGCAGGGAAACCGAGUCUUAAUUGGGCGUUAAGUUGCAGGGUAUAGACCCGAAACCCGGUGAUCUAGCCAUGGGCAGGUUGAAGGUUGGGUAACACUAACUGGAGGACCGAACCGACUAAUGUUGAAAAAUUAGCGGAUGACCUGUGGCUGGGGGUGAAAGGCCAAUCAAACCGGGAGAUAGCUGGUUCUCCCCGAAAGCUAUUUAGGUAGCGCCUCGUGAAUUCAUCUCCGGGGGUAGAGCACUGUUUCGGCUAGGGGGCCAUCCCGGCUUACCAACCCGAUGCAAACUGCGAAUACCGGAGAAUGUUAUCACGGGAGACACACGGCGGGUGCUAACGUCCGUCGUGAAGAGGGAAACAACCCAGACCGCCAGCUAAGGUCCCAAAGUCAUGGUUAAGUGGGAAACGAUGUGGGAAGGCCCAGACAGCCAGGAUGUUGGCUUAGAAGCAGCCAUCAUUUAAAGAAAGCGUAAUAGCUCACUGGUCGAGUCGGCCUGCGCGGAAGAUGUAACGGGGCUAAACCAUGCACCGAAGCUGCGGCAGCGAACGUAUCACUUAAAGCGAUUCAGCGGGUUACGAUUGACGGAGCGAAGCGACGUCAAAGCGUAUACAAAGUCGAGUCGGUUUAAGGAUACGUUCGUUGGGUAGGGGAGCGUUCUGUAAGCCUGCGAAGGUGGCCUGUGAGGGUUGCUGGAGGUAUCAGAAGUGCGAAUGCUGACAUAAGUAACGAUAAAGCGGGUGAAAAGCCCGCUCGCCGGAAGACCAAGGGUUCCUGUCCAACGUUAAUCGGGGCAGGGUGAGUCGACCCCUAAGGCGAGGCCGAAAGGCGUAGUCGAUGGGAAACGGGUUAAUAUUCCCGUACUUGGUGUUACUGCGAAGGGGGGACGGAGAAGGCUAUGUUGGCCGGGCGACGGUUGUCCCGGUUUAAGCGUGUAGGUGUGUGUUCCAGGUAAAUCCGGUUCACUUUAACACUGAGGCGUGACGACGAGGCACUACGGUGCUGAAGUAACAAAUGCCCUGCUUCCAGGAAAAGCCUCUAAGCAUCAGGUAACAUCAAAUCGUACCCCAAACCGACACAGGUGGUCAGGUAGAGAAUACCAAGGCGCUUGAGAGAACUCGGGUGAAGGAACUAGGCAAAAUGGUGCCGUAACUUCGGGAGAAGGCACGCUGACACGUAGGUGAAGUGAUUUACUCAUGGAGCUGAAGUCAGUCGAAGAUACCAGCUGGCUGCAACUGUUUAUUAAAAACACAGCACUGUGCAAACACGAAAGUGGACGUAUACGGUGUGACGCCUGCCCGGUGCCGGAAGGUUAAUUGAUGGGGUCAGCGCAAGCGAAGCUCCUGAUCGAAGCCCCGGUAAACGGCGGCCGUAACUAUAACGGUCCUAAGGUAGCGAAAUUCCUUGUCGGGUAAGUUCCGACCUGCACGAAUGGCGUAAUGAUGGCCAGGCUGUCUCCACCCGAGACUCAGUGAAAUUGAACUCGCUGUGAAGAUGCAGUGUACCCGCGGCAAGACGGAAAGACCCCGUGAACCUUUACUAUAGCUUGACACUGAACAUUGAGCCUUGAUGUGUAGGAUAGGUGGGAGGCUUUGAAGUGUGGACGCCAGUCUGCAUGGAGCCGACCUUGAAAUACCACCCUUUAAUGUUU
rnacentral:rRNA from 1 species